CACUCUCUCUCUCUACCUAAAAUCCUCUCCCUUCUCUCUAGAAAAUACAAGAAGAAAAAUAAAGGAAAAUCUUCUUCAAAGAUUUGAAACUCUUAGAACAAGGGUAAGUGUUCUACUAUUCUUUCCCUUUCAUUUUUUUACUCUCUUAGAUUUUUUAAUAAUAUGAACAUUAGUGUUUUGUGGGGAGGGUGUGAAGGUUUGUGGAAGCUAGAACCAAGAGGAAACCAAGACCUAGAGCCAAACCAAAAAUAGGAGCAUCAAGAGGAAAUCCCCAUGCUACACACACUCAGACGUCGGAACUACCCAUAUCACAGCGCGUGCCAGAGAGAAACCUUACAGAUUACCUGAAAGGGAGAAAGUAAAGGGUGCCCACACAUUUCUUGAGGUGUAGAGAACGCGUUGGAAGAUCUUGGUGUGAGUACGUGGGAGCGGCUUGGAUAGGAAGAUCGUUCUAAUUACGAAAAGAUGGCAAGGAUACUUGAUAGGCUUCAAGAGGAAUUACAAUAUUGGCUAAAAGGAGUGUGUAGCUGUGGUUUAAGGAUUUACACUCCGAGGGAAGGAAUCCAAGUAAGUGCAAUGGCAAAGCGGAGCAGUGAGCACUGAAGUCUGCUUGCGCGAGUGUACAUGUGGCCCGAUAUUUUGAGAAAAUUUCCUUUGGGGCUAACACUAUUUUAUCAGUUAUGUUUAAGCUAUUUAUGUUUACUUUAAAUGUUUAAGAACAAUUGUAACUAGUUAAGUGUGUGCACAUAACUUUUAUUUUUAAAGAUUUUUUUUAUGUGAA